rnacentral:rRNA from 1 species
ACUAGUACCGUAAGGGAAAGUUGAAAAACAACCCCUGAGUGGGGAGUGAAAAGAGCUGAAAUUGUGGGUUGGUUACAACCAUUUUGGUGUACCUUUUGUAUAAUGGGCCAGCAACUUAGCAAGAGUAGCAAGCGUAAUGCAAAGCACGCGUAGCGAAAGCGAGUCUGAAUAAGGCAUUUAGUUUCUUUUGCUAAACCCGAAACCGGGUGAUCUAGCCGUGAGCAGGCUGAAGGGUUGACUGGAGGGCCGAACCCUAGGAUGUGGCAAAAUCCAGGGAUGACUUGCGGUUAGGGGUGAAAGGCUAAUCAAACUCGGAAAUAGCUGGUUUUCUGCGAAAUCUAUUUAAGUAGAGCGUCGCCAAUUUCAUGGGGGUAGGGCUCUGGACUCUUGAUGGGGGCGCAAGCUUUACUGAGAGUGUUUAAACUUCGAAUACCUAGGCGGCAGACAGGCUGCGGGUGAUAAGAUCCGUGGCCAAAAGGGAAACAGCCCAGAUUGUAGAAUAAGGCUCAUAACAAGUACUAAGACUAAGGCGCUCACUGCAGAGACAACCCAAAUGGUGGGCUUAGAAGCAGCCAUCCACUAAAGAGAUCGUUAAAGAUCAUGGGACUAGUUACUGAUCGCCGAAAAUUUUGAAAUGAGUACUUGGCCGAAGUCGCAGUUAACAGGUAGCAGAAUGCUCAAAAAGGUCUUAGUUUUUUUUAAAAAAAGAGUAAACACCCUUUUUGAGGCAACAAUGCUGGCAUGAGUAACUAGAAAUGCUGCGUAAAACCAGCAUCGCCGAAAACCCCAGGUUUCCUCCGCAAAGGAUAAUCCUCGGAGGGUGAUGCGGUUCCUAAGAUGUGGCUCUAAGGAGCGCUUUCGAUGGAAUGC